AGCAGCCGCGGUAAUUCCAGCUCCAAUAGCGUAUAUUAAAGUUGUUGCAGUUAAAAAGCUCGUAGUUGAAUUUCGGGAUUAGUACGUUGGUCGUGCCUUAGGUACGUACUGGUGUUACUGGUUCCUACCUUCUGACGAACCAUCAUGUCAUUAAUUUGGUGUGGCGGGGAAUCAGGACUGUUACUUUGAAAAAUUAGAGUGUUUAAAGCAGGCUCGCGCUUGAAUACAUUAGCAUGGGAUAAUGAAAUAGGACGUUGACCCUAUUUUGUUGGUUUCUAGGAUUGACGUAAUGAUUAAUAGGGAUAGUUGGGGGCAUUAGUAUUCAAUUGUCAGAGGUGAAAUUCUUGGAUUUAUUGAAGACUAACUACUGCGAAAGCAUUUGCCAAGGAUGUUUUCAUUAAUCAAGAACGAAAGUUAGGGGAUCGAAGACGAUCAGAUACCGUCGUAGUCUUAACCAUAAACUAUGCCGACUAGGGAUCGGAUGAUGUUUAAUUUUUAAUGACUCAUUCGGCGCCUUACG
rnacentral:rRNA from 1 species